UAGUUCUACAGUCCCUGAACAGACAGUGUGUCAGAAAGGAGAUCAGCAGAGAUGGGACUUCAGUACGCUCUGAAUUUCUGGAUACUAGCUGUUGUCUUUUUACCAGGGAUCCUGGGUAGCGAAUGGGGUGUAGAGUAUUCAGGAAAUCCACUCUGUGCCAUCAGAGGAUCCACUGUGGUCAUUCCCUGUUCAUAUAAAUAUCCAGCUUCAUUAAGAUUAGAGACAGUCAUGUGGUGUCAUAAUGAAGCGUACUGUGAUAAAAUGCCAUAUGUCUCUCACAGCAGUAAUACAGGGAUUAGUGAUGCAUUCAGAGACAGGGCAGAAUAUUUAGGGAACAAAGAGAAGAACUGCACAUUACAGAUAAAGAACAUUACAGACAAAGAUGCUGGUGAGUAUAUAUUUAGGUUCAUAACCAAUAAGAAAACAGGACAAUGGAAUGGAAGACCUGGGACAACUCUUACAGUUCAUGAAUUAAAGGUGGCGAUGACCCCACAGAAAGAGGGUACAGGAGUCAGUGAAGGAGACUCUGUGAAUCUGACAUGUGGCACAGACAGCUGCUCUCUCAGCCAAUCAGAAUUCACCUGGUUUAAGAACAACCAGCAGCUCCCAGAAACACAGUCCACACUUCACUUCAGUCCUGUCUGCACAUCUCACUCUGCAAACUACUCCUGUGGAUUAAAAGGCAACAGACAGACUGUGUCUGAAGCAGUGAAUUUGUCUGUAGAAGAUGAUGCAUGGACUGUGCGUUACAAAGAGAGAAACCUGUGUGCAUUGAGAGGAUCGACUGUGUUCAUUCAGUGUGAAUAUGAGUAUGCAGAGCGAUACAAAGUGAAAUCCAGCAUGUGGAGUCGGAAUGAUGUGGACUGUACUGGGAAACCAUAUGUCUAUCACAGUAAUAAUGCAGACAUUAGUGCUGAGUACACAGGCAGAGCAGAACUCUUGGGGAACAACGUGAGGAACUGUACAUUGCAGAUAAAGAACAUUAGAAAGACGGAUGCUGGAGAGUAUAGAUUCAGAUUCGUAACGAACGGGUGUGAGAAGUGUGGUGGACCUGGAGUGACUCUUCAAGUUGAUGAACUGAAGGUGGUGAUGACCUCAUCCAGGGUAAAUGGAACAAUAAGGGAAGGAGACUCUGUGAACCUGACAUGUGACACAGACAGCUGCUCUCUCAGCCAAUCAGAAUUCACCUGGUUUAAGGACAACAAGCAGCUACCAGAAACACAGUCCACACUUCACUUCAGUCCCAUAUCCUACAAUCACACAGGAAAAUAUUCAUGUGCUAUAAAUGGCAGAAAGGUGACUGUAUCUAAUGAAGUGAAUAUCAUUGUUGAAAGUCAUUUUAAUACAAUUAUUAUAAUUACUGCUGUGGGAAUAUUAUUGUUUGUGUUAAUUGGAGCUGUUGUGAUUGUCAUCUUCAUGAAAAGGAGAAAUUCAGUCAAUGUGGACAAAACCGAAGGAGGAACCAAGAAAAGAGACAAGGACCUGUGCAGCGAUUCAGAAGAACAGGCGGAUUCAGCUGUUUAUGCCAAUCGCACGGAGUCUUCUACAGAGAAGAGUAGAACCAGCCACAGAUAUUCCGAGGAAUCCUGUGAGCUCCCAGACUAUGAAAAUGUGUAUUGGUGCUGAUUCAGUAAGAUGGACUUCAUGUGCCUUGAUACCUGUCUUUCAAAGCACUUUCUAAUAAGUGUGUGUAAGUGCCACUGGUCUGUAUUCAUUCCGACAGCUGAUGUGAGUCUGGGUACUGGUAUGAUUGUGGCCGAUUUCCGACAAGCAGAAAACGAAGAGCAAUAUUACAUGGAACAAUAAGAUUCCCAAAAUGUGACUAGCACUCCUGAAGGAGUAUAAAUCUGUAGGGACCUACACUGAUUUCUUACAGCAUUGAACGAUUUAGAUUUGGGAUUUAGUAUGCAAAAACUAAAAUUCAACAUAAUGCUGCAAUUUGUACUCACUCUGACAAGCAUUAGGAAAAUAAAACCAGCAAUUACCUAUUUUUGGGUGUCUUGGGUGGGGUGACAACAGGUGAAAGACCUACAAGGAAGAAAAUAAUAUUCUCUCCCAGAAGAGGGCGCCAGACACAAGAAGUAAAGGAAGAGUGUAUGUAGUAUCGCUCGAAUGCGCUCUCCGAUUAAUUGAGCCCUUGCAGGUCAUCUGACGCUGUCGGUUAUCUCAGCUCCUGUGGUUGUCUUCAUGGAGUGAGGAAGCACGCGGAAGGAGCAACAGAGCUGCCCUGGUCAACCGCAAGUGAAGUGAUUGUGAAGUGUGAACAUCUGGGAGCAAGUCCAGCUGCAAGGUGGGGGCCACAAGCUCACAGAAAGGGACCUGAUCACCCAGCAUCAAUACCCAACAGGAAUGGCAGCAAAUCCCACCGGCAAUGUCCCAGCAUCUAAUGGAAAGCCUUCCCAGAAGAGUGCAGGCUAUUACAGCAGCUAAGGGUUAGUCAACUUCAUAUUAAUACUCUUUGAGAUGCUGGAUAAGCUGAUGUCUCAAUACUUUUAUCCAUAUAGUCAUGUUAAUUACAUUUACCAAUUCAUCCAGCCAGAGAUGUCUGUGAUUAUGUAAAAGAAAAACGUCAAAGAACUGUGAACUCAGGAACAGCAUUACGAUUCAUUUUUCUAAUUUUUAUCCAAGUAAAUAUUUAUUAAAGUACCAGCAUCAUAGCUUUCCUAGAUCCCAUUGGUUUCCUAGUGUUUAACUGUCCAGGAAACAGCAACAUUAUAGAACUUCCAACAACUGCAUCAGUAAGUCAGUUUGCAUAUAAAAGACUGUUACAUAGUGUAGCCAGAGCAAAUUCUUUCUCCUACAGUGAAAUUGUAGUUCACUAAGAGUUUCAUGCAAGUUGUUACAUGUAAAAUUUGUUUCAUGAAAAAGAUGAUGCACAUCAAUUUGCCUUUGGAAAAAAGGAUUAGCUUUAUUUACAGUUUCUUCUGGAUUACAAUAAAAAUUGUUUGUGUUGUCUAGACCAAAACAAUGUUCUCACAGCCCGAAAAA